rnacentral:rRNA from 1 species
ACAACCUGUAUCAACGGAUCUCUAGGCUCUGACGUCGAUGAAAAACGCAGCAAAAGGCGAAAUCAAAUAUGACUAGCAAGAAACUACGAAUCAUUGGC